AGGUAUUAUAUUUCUUUCAGAAUUUUUCUAGCAGGUCUUCUGACUUUGGUUGGAAAACCAAA
ensembl:snRNA Gm22339 predicted gene, 22339